rnacentral:rRNA from 1 species
UACGUAGGUGACCAGCGUUGUCCGGAUUUACUGGGCGUAAAGAGCGCGCAGGCGGUCGUUCAAGUCGAGUGUGAAAGCCCCCGGCUCAACUGGGGAGGGUCACUCGAUACUGAUCGACUUGAAGGCAGGAGAGGGAAGCGGAAUUCCCGGUGUAGUGGUGACAUGCGUAGAUAUCGGGAGGAACACCAGAGGCGAAGGCGGCUUCCUGGCCUGUUCUUGACGCUGAGGCGCGAAAGCUAGGGGAGCAAACGGG